CACCCCCUUCCACUGAGCUCACCCUCACUACAGAGCAGAUUGCAGCACGUCAGAAUCCCCCUUUGGCUUUUUCCUUCUGACUGCUGCAACACACUUUUCCAGCAACUCAGGACCAGGACGUCCCAUCUGCAGAUAGGCGUUCAGAGGACAGGAACAGGACAGGACACGCACCCUUGACACCACACGGCAGCACCACCAGCACCACCACAGACAUGUCCGACUCCGAAGCCGCUGCUGCCCCCGCUGAGGCCCCCGUCCCUGCUGCUUGUGCGACCAUCAAGGCUGACCUGGACAAAUGUGUGGCAGAGAAGGGAGCCGAGGGCUGCAAAGACCUGAUGGAGGCCUUCGCUGCUUGUGUGAAGAGCGCAGCUGAGGGGACGUCAUGAGGAGUCACCCUCCAGCCUCAAAUGUCCACCGCACUGAGUCCUCCAAAUUCCCAGCAUUCCCUUCUGCACAACAGCACUGGACUGAACGAUGACAACAACGAUGACGUUGAAGAUGAUGAUGAUGAUCAUAGCGUGAAAAAACACUGUUGAUUCGGGCUGAGUUUGGGAUCUGGUGGCAGUAACCACAGUUUCCUCCCCCCCUGUCCUCCCCCCUCUCCCCCCUCUGUUUUAGCCUUAUCUGGUGUCCCUCAGUCUUACCACCGCUCCCCUUCGUCCCUCCAUGGCUGACGUACAGUAUCUGGGCAAUUCCAGUGAGCCGAUGGGCUGUGAUGUAAAUUGUCGACUUGAAAUGAAUACUUAUAAAUGGAAAUAAAAGUAUCAAAUAAUUGGUAUAAAAAGAA